UGUGGCUCGGUGAAAGCGGCGCCGGCGGGGCCGAGGUUGGGAAUCUAAAAUGAAAACGGAUCUGUGGACCACUUCCCAAGAUGAUGUGCUGGGAAAUUGGCACAGCUUAGCAUUCUAUCACUUGACUCAGAACUCAUCCUGAAGAAAACCACAAGUUCAGAGCUUCUAUGUCCAAAGCUCGGCAGCAUUUAUCAGCACAAUUCAACCUUGGUGUUUCUCCGUCAAAGGAGCUCUACUAAUCGUCUUUUGGGAUCAAGGAAUUGCUGAGGGCUGGAUUUAUUGCACGUCCCUACUCGCACUCCUGCUUCUCGUCAAGGUGCUCACACCUUGCUCUUGGCUAAGGAGUUCUGUGAUUUAGACCCUCCGAAGAUGAGUUGGCAUACAAGUCAAUACAUUGUGUACUGAGACCGUGAGGAAGGAACAGCAAUAUAUUUUCAAAACAGGACUGUGUGUGAUUUAGAGGGAAGUAUAAAGGCCGGACUUUGGAGUCUCCUGGGGAACUACAUCUGCAUGAAGUGCAUCUGGCUGCAGCUCCUUGAAGACCAUGACACCAACGUGAGAGAGUCCAGUUCCAUCCCCACAACAUCACUGGCCUUACGGAUGAGUUUGUUGAUUCCGUUGGUGUCUGCUACCCACAGCCUGCUGCCC